rnacentral:rRNA from 1 species
UACGGAGGGUGCGAGCGUUGUUCGGAAUCACUGGGCGUAAAGCGCGUGUAGGCGGCCUUUUAAGUCCGAUGUGAAAGCCCGGGGCUCACCCCCGGAAGUGCAUUGGAUACUGAUUGGCUGGAGUACCGGAGAGGAGGGUGGAAUUCCUGGUGUAGCGGUGAAAUGCGUAGAUAUCAGGAGGAACACCUGUGGCGAAGGCGGCCCUCUGGACGGAUACUGACGCUGAGACGCGAAAGCGUGGGGAGCAAACAGG